CGCGCCUGCCCGACAACGUCGAGAUCUCCAACCCCAUGUACCUGGCCGGCGACGACGAGCCCGAGCCGGCGCCAAGACCGCCCCAGCACACGAAUGGCGGAAAUCACUUUGCGAAUCCCGUAUAUGAGAGCAUGUACGCGCCCCAGCAGAACAUCCCCACUGAGGAGCACGCGAAUCUACUAGCGGAGGCACGCGAUGCGUCGCCGCCGCCCGAGCGCGCCGCGCUGCUGUAAGCGCCGCUUGAUUACCAACACCUUUCUUCUAGGUGCAAAGCCCAAUCAUUUGGGUGACAUUUCAUUCAAAAAUGAGCCCAUAUAAUAUUAUAACAUGAUCAACUCACCGACUGUAGCUCGGCCCUCGAACCCGGUGGCGCUGCGUCUUAUUUCCUUACAUAUCCUAAGCGGCCACCUCUUGCCUUCUUAAUAUAGAUAUUAUUUUUACACGUUAUUCUUGUACUGUAAAUUGAAUUUCUUAUAACUAUUCGAAUCUAUCAUAUCUUCGAGACCAAAUGUGAGGGUAGUUUGAUAUUAUUAUGAUAAGUGUAGGAGUGUGUUCGUAUCUUGCGCGGCACCUAUUAUUUUAAGUGAUCGAAUGACUUUUGAAUAUCUUACUACAUAUUAUGUAUUCAUAUGCUGAUACCUACUUAAUAAUCAGACCACUUGUAGUUUGACAAUUUUCAUAGUUUUAUGCAAGGCGGAGUUAGCUAUCACUAUUUAUUACUGGUUAGUGAUUUAUAUAAAUCUACUUAUAAAUAACCGUGAUAUUGCUCCUGUUUAGGUUUGUAAGUCCUAUUUUAUUGUGAUUGUUUUUCACAUUAUGGAAUGUAAUUGCUAAGGCGGGCGUCGAUGGAAGUUAUUGCGCCAUUGAAAAAAGAGGCUGAUAAAAGUGACUGAGUUUCUUGCGCUGCUUCUUCUCAGCACUGGCCCGCAUAUUGUCCCGAAGCAGUGGUAAGGUUCAAGUAAUAUCGGGACACGCAAAAGUGCUUUCUAAAAGCCUUGUCAUGAAAAAAAUUAUGACUUUACUUAUUAUAUAUUGCUCAAAACACCAAAUAAAAGAUACUUAAGUGUUUACUAACCGUACAUUGGAAUAUUUUAGUGAUGUCUCUGAAAUUAAUUUUGGCAAUGAACUAAUACUCAGUUGCAACGCUCAAAGGUAUUUGUGUCAAAAAUUGUGCCAUAUCAAAGAAUCUCUUAAUUUUAAAAUGUCGUAAGGUUGUUUUAAGAGUAUUACAAAAAGUGGCGACGAGCAUUAAUAUUUUUAAUUGUAUAAGUACAAUAAUUUAAGUAAGUACAAUUAAUUUUACAGCGAUAUACGGCCUACAGCAAACUGAGUGUGUUUUUGUAUUCUACAAUAAUGAGUCCUAUUUUCUAAACCGUACUUCGGUAUCAAAGUGGUCACCUGAAAUUAUUCAGAGCAUGGUUUUUGUGUACACCAUUGAGGAAAAAAUGUAGGCAUGAUUACAUGACAGCUUUCUUUAUACGCGGGGAGAACAAACGGGGUUGUGUUUCUAUUUCGUCCCGUACACAUUAAUAACUUAUAUUUUCCGGUAUUUUUAAAAUCUUGACAUGUGAUUAAUAUUAUAAUUUAUUGGGAUAAGUUAGCUAUUCUUCUUCAAAAGCUUUAAUUUUGAAUAUUUUAUUUUCUAAAUCGUCACAAGGAGAGCUUACUGUAGGUUUACAAUUUAGACUUAGUAGUAAAGUUUACCUUCUACUGAUAUAAAAAUAUGAAUGUUUAUAAACACCUAAUAACGUAGUCUUAUUAUGGACCAUAUCAAGUGUAUAACGUAAUAGAUCAAAAUAAUCGUAACCCUAUAAUUAUAAUAUUAUAUUGUGAAUGCAAAAUAUUCCUUAUUCAUUUCCUGCGAAACGCUUCACAAACGACUCAUGAUCUAAAUGUAAGUAGUCUUAAGAAUAUCAAUAAAACAUUGUGAACAUUA